rnacentral:piRNA from 1 species
UGGCAGAGACUUGGGGAUGGAACCGC